rnacentral:rRNA from 1 species
CUUGACUGGAAGACACGUUACAAAAUUAUCAAGGGGACAUGUGAGGGCCUAAAAUACCUUCAUGAAGGAUGCAAAGAACCAAUUUAUCAUUUGGAUCUAAAACCCGACAACAUACUGCUAGAUGAGAAUAUGAUACCAAAACUUGCCGAUUUUGGUUUGUCCAAGCUCUUUGGUGAAGAACAAACUAGGGUUACAUAUAAUCCUGUAGGAACAUUGUAA